CUAACCUUUUCGUAUGUCUUUCCAUAGACUCGUACCAAAAGUCUCCCUCACCUCACAAGUGUUCCACCCCCUAACUAGUUCCCUAAACUUUCCUUGGAUGAUCUUCCCCAAAAGCACUCUCGCUCAAAGACAAACCUCUAUAACCAUUAGCCAAGUAAGGCCUAAUUAAAAGGAGGUGUUAUAUAGUUGGGGAGGUUCUUUUGUGGGGAAAAAAAAGAAAAAAUUCUGGAGUUCCAUUCCAUUAUUCAUUUUUUGGAUGGUUUGGAAGGAAAGGAAUAGAUUAGCUUUUAGGGGGGGGGGGGGGGUUUAGCAAUUCAGAGGUUCAAAUAUUCUUUUGUUUGUUAUAUCUGGGGUUGGGCUAAGUUGUAUAUGGAGGAGAAGCUGAAUUCCCUUUUAGAUUUCCUGGAGUGGAUUGCCUCCAGUUGAGGGGUGGUUUGUUUUUUUUGGUCUUUUGCUUGUUUUUGGCCUUUGCUGCCUGGUAUAAGUCCUGUAUACGUUGAGGUUUUUUGCCUCUUUAAUGAAUUGUGUUUACUUAUCAAAAAAAAAAAAAAGUAAGGCCUAAUUAAGAACCUCCAGUCUUUUAAUGCCUAAACCUCUGAACUUCUUAUUUGCAAAGCUUAG
rnacentral:lncRNA from 1 species